CUUGGGUGGCACCAACAAAAGAUACAUCGAUGAGACCAAGAACAGAUGGGAAAACUUCUGUGCCAAUGUGCAGUUAUAUGGUCUGUGGAAGAAGGUCCUAAAAAAACCCUUUCCUAUUGAUACGUAUGGAGCGGAGUUUACCAUUGCCCUUCUGCAAUCACUACCCUCUCUCUUCCCAUCACCAAAACUGCCACCAAAACGUCUUGGAAAUGCCAGUGAGGCUCUCAUCCAUGUUCUCCAGGGAAACGAGGAUCCCAACAAAUACCUGGAGACGCGUCCACUGUCGUCCCCAGUCCUUUUGUACGAUGGCACUGUGUGCAUUCUCGCCAUUGGUGAGGUUCCUGUUAGCCCCCUGGAAAACGUAUUCGAUGGCAUGAUCACACUGAUGGCGUACUACUAUGCCUUUAAUUUAACGUACCCAAAAUGCAUUGCAACACUUUUGUCUGUAAUUCAGACAGAGGUUCUUUCUGAUGAAAUACAUGAGAGUGAUGCCACAAGGGUAUAUAAAAAGACUAUGACUGAGUGGAAGGAAUUUACUACGAAAUAGCUCAGUUUCUCCCAGGGGGCUCCCAGGCCAAAAGAAUGUCCUGUUUCUAUCUUAAUUGGUUGACUGUUUAUUUUUUAUUUUAUUCAAUUGCAAUAUACACUGGCCCUUAAUUAAAGGUAGGUGUUCUACCUUUUAAUUAAGGGCCAGUGUAUAUUGCAAUUGAA
ensembl:lncRNA